rnacentral:rRNA from 1 species
UACGUAGGGCGCAAGCGUUAUCCGGAAUUAUUGGGCGUAAAGAGCUCGUAGGCGGUUUGUCGCGUCUGCCGUGAAAGUCCGGGGCUCAACUCCGGAUCUGCGGUGGGUACGGGCAGACUAGAGUGAUGUAGGGGGAGACUGGAAUUCCUGGUGUAGCGGUGGAAUGCGCAGAUAUCAGGAGGAACACCGAUGGCGAAGGCAGGUCACUGGGCCGCAACUGACGCUGAGGAGCGAAAGCAUGGGGAGCGAACAGG